CACUCCUACGGGAGGCAGCAGUGGGGAAUUUUGGACAAUGGGCGAAAGCCUGAUCCAGCAAUGCCGCGUGUGUGAAGAAGGCCUUCGGGUUGUAAAGCACUUUUGUCCGGAAAGAAAUCCUUGGCUCUAAUACAGUCGGGGGAUGACGGUACCGGAAGAAUAAGCACCGGCUAACUACGUGCCAGCAGCCGCGGUAAUACGUAGGGUGCGAGCGUUAAUCGGAAUUACUGGGCGUAAAGCGUGCGCAGGCGGUUUGCUAAGACCGAUGUGAAAUCCCCGGGCUCAACCUGGGAACUGCAUUGGUGACUGGCAGGCUAGAGUAUGGCAGAGGGGGGUAGAAUUCCACGUGUAGCAGUGAAAUGCGUAGAGAUGUGGAGGAAUACCGAUGGCGAAGGCAGCCCCCUGGGCCAAUACUGACGCUCAUGCACGAAAGCGUGGGGAGCAAACAGGAUUAGAUACCCGGGUAGUCCCAUG
rnacentral:rRNA from 1 species